GCCUUCGUGGUGUAGUGGUCAGCAUGCUGGACGCGUAUUCCCGAGGUCCGUAGUUCGAUUCCCGGCAAAAGCA
rnacentral:tRNA from 1 species